CCAUCGGUGGUUCAGUGGUAGAAUGCUCGCCUGCAACGAGGGCGGCCCCGGUUCUAUUCCCGGUCGAUGCA
rnacentral:tRNA from 1 species